ensembl:lncRNA
CUGGUCCUUGGCUGUUCAUCUACCUGCAUUUCCCUGUGACUGAUGUCCUGAGGAGGAUUCUGCAGGUUUCUGUUCUUCUUCUCUGAGCCUGAACCUCUCUACAGUUACAACAGUCAGUCCCCUUACUGCUCCUGCAACUGAGACGGCGAGGCAGUGUAAACCGCCAACGUGACCGUUCCUCCCGCAGCACGAAACACAACAUCCUAACAGGUUUCAAGCCGCACCGACGGGGCCCUUGAAUUAUUACCGGGGGCCCCCCAUUCAUAAUUAGCCCGGGCCUGGUGGGGACCAAAGCCCCACUAAUGACGCCUUUGUUGCCGCUGAUCUGCGCCGCACAAUCAACAAGAGGAGGACGUAUGACUGGGAGAAGCAGUCCCACACUGAGCGAUAACGUGCCUUCAGGGCAGCCUCUCUAAAACAAUCACGCACGGCUUCAGCUCUCCCCUCGUUAAAGAUGAGUGUUCACAUGGGGCGUGAGACGGAGAGCGUGUUCGCAUGUGUGUGUGUGUGUGUGUGUGUGUGUGUGUGUGUGUGUGUGAGAACCAGAAGCUUGUAGGUCUACAGAUAUGCCAGUUCCCACAGGCAACAUAUAGCUAUUUGAUUUGAUUGGCCUUUAGUCUUUGCACGCUAACGACACCUUCAGUUUUGUCAAAUAUGCUGAUAGUUUAUAUGCAUAUAGUUCAUGUUCAUCUUGUUUUGAUAAGGUUUAGUUUAAUCUGCAUUUACAAGUAGUAAAAAUAAUUUCAUAUAUAAAUAUAUAUAUAUAUAUGUGUAUGAGUUUUUAUUUUUUUGGUGUAAUGUCUAUUUACAACAAUACAAAUCAUAUUUCUAUUUUAAAAACAAGCUAAAACAAACAUGAUUUAAUGUCAGCAUCUUCCUUGAUUUCUC